rnacentral:rRNA from 1 species
CCUGAUGCAGCGACGCCGCGUGAGUGAAGAAGUAUUUCGGUAUGUAAAGCUCUAUCAGCAGGGAAGAUAAUGACAGUACCUGACUAAGAAGCCCCGGCUAACUACGUGCCAGCAGCCGCGGUAAUACGUAGGGGGCAAGCGUUAUCCGGAUUUACUGGGUGUAAAGGGAGCGUAGACGGAGUGGCAAGUCUGAAGUGAAAACCCUGGGCUUAACCUGGGGACUGCUUUGGAAACUGUUAAUCUAGAGUGUUGGAGAGGUAAGUGGAAUUCCUGGUGUAGCGGUGAAAUGCGUAGAUAUCAGGAAGAACACCGGAGGCGAAGGCGGCUUACUGGACAAUAACUGACGUUGAGGCUCGAAAGCGUGGGGAUCAAACAGGAUUAGAUACCCUGGUAGUCCACGCUGUAAACGAUGAAUACUACGUGUCGGGGAGCAAAGCUUCUCGGUGCCGUCGCUAACGCAAUAAGUAUUCCACCUGGGGAGUACGUUCGCAAGAAUGAAACUCAAAGGAAUUGACGGGGACCCGCACAAGCGGUGGAGCAUGUGGUUUAAUUCGAAGGCAACGCGAAGAACCU